rnacentral:rRNA from 1 species
UACGGAGGGUGCAAGCAUUAAUCGGAUUUAUUGGGCGUAAAGGGCGCGUAGGCGGGGAUAUUAGUCAGAUGUGAGAUCCUGGGGCUCAACCUCAGAACUGCAUUUGAAACUGUAUCUCUAGAGGGUAGGAGGAGAAAACGGAAUUCCACAAGUAGCGGUGAAAUGCGUAGAUAUGUGGAAGAACACCGGUGGCGAAGGCGGUUUUCUAUCUUAUUCCUGACGCUGAGGCGCGAAAGCAAGGGGAUCAAACAGG